UACGAAGGGGGCUAGCGUUGCUCGGAAUCACUGGGCGUAAAGCGCACGUAGGCGGAUUGCUAAGUCAGGGGUGAAAUCCCGGGGCUCAACCCCGGAACUGCCUUUGAUACUGGGUGUCUUGAGUCCGGAAGAGGUGAGUGGAAUUCCGAGUGUAGAGGUGGAAUUCGUAGAUAUUCGGAGGAACACCAGUGGCGAAGGCGGCUCACUGGUCCGGUACUGACGCUGAGGUGCGAAAGCGUGGGGAGCAAACAGG
rnacentral:rRNA from 1 species